GACGAACGCUGGCGGCGUGCUUAACACAUGCAAGUCGAACGGAAAGGCCCUGCUUUUGUGGGGUGCUCGAGUGGCGAACGGGUGAGUAACACGUGAGUAACCUGCCCUUGACUUUGGGAUAACUUCAGGAAACUGGGGCUAAUACCGGAUAGGAGCUCCUGCUGCAUGGUGGGGGUUGGAAAGUUUCGGCGGUUGGGGAUGGACUCGCGGCUUAUCAGCUUGUUGGUGGGGUAGUGGCUUACCAAGGCUUUGACGGGUAGCCGGCCUGAGAGGGUGACCGGCCACAUUGGGACUGAGAUACGGCCCAGACUCCUACGGGAGGCAGCAGUGGGGAAUAUUGCACAAUGGGCGGAAGCCUGAUGCAGCAACGCCGCGUGCGGGAUGACGGCCUUCGGGUUGUAAACCGCUUUCGCCUGUGACGAAGCGUGAGUGACGGUAAUGGGUAAAGAAGCACCGGCUAACUACGUGCCAGCAGCCGCGGUGAUACGUAGGGUGCGAGCGUUGUCCGGAUUUAUUGGGCGUAAAGGGCUCGUAGGUGGUUGAUCGCGUCGGAAGUGUAAUCUUGGGGCUUAACCCUGAGCGUGCUUUCGAUACGGGUUGACUUGAGGAAGGUAGGGGAGAAUGGAAUUCCUGGUGGAGCGGUGGAAUGCGCAGAUAUCAGGAGGAACACCAGUGGCGAAGGCGGUUCUCUGGGCCUUUCCUGACGCUGAGGAGCGAAAGCGUGGGGAGCGAACAGGCUUAGAUACCCUGGUAGUCCACGCUGUAAACGGUGGGUACUAGGUGUGGGGUCCAUUCCACGGGUUCCGUGCCGUAGCUAACGCUUUAAGUACCCCGCCUGGGGAGUACGGCCGCAAGGCUAAAACUCAAAGGAAUUGACGGGGCCCCGCACAAGCGGCGGAGCAUGCGGAUUAAUUCGAUGCAACGCGUAGAACCUUACCUGGGUUUGACAUGGAUCGGGAGUACUCAGAGAUGGGUGUGCCUCUUUUGGGGUCGGUUCACAGGUGGUGCAUGUCUGUCGUCAGCUCGUGUCGUGAGAUGUUGGGUUAAGUCCCGCAACGAGCGCAACCCUUGUUCACUGUUGCCAGCACGUUAUGGUGGGGACUCAGUGGAGACCGCCGGGGUCAACUCGGAGGAAGGUGGGGAUGACGUCAAGUCCUCAUGCCCCUUAUGUCCAGGGCUUCACGCAUGCUACAAUGGCUGGUACAGAGAGUGGCGAGCCUGUGAGGGUGAGCGAAUCUCGGAAAGCCGGUCUCAGUUCGGAUUGGGGUCUGCAACUCGACCUCAUGAAGUCGGAGUCGCUAGUAAUCGCAGAUCAGCAACGCUGCGGUGAAUACGUUCCCGGGGC
rnacentral:rRNA from 1 species